CGCAGCCUGCAGCCCGAGACUUCUGUAAAGGACUGGGGCCCCGCAACUGGCCUCUCCUGCCCUCUUAAGCGCAGCGCCAUUUUAGCAACGCAGAAGCCCGGCGCCGGGAAGCCUCAGCUCGCCUGAAGGCAGGUCCCCUCUGACGCCUCCGGGAGCCCAGGUUUCCCAGAGUCCUUGGGACGCAGCGACGAGUUGUGCUGCUAUCUUAGCUGUCCUUAUAGGCUGGCCAUUCCAGGUGGUGGUAUUUAGAUAAAACCACUCAAACUCUGCAGUUUGGUCUUGGGGUUUGGAGGAAAGCUUUUAUUUUUCUUCCUGCUCCGGUUCAGAAGGUCUGAAGCUCAUACCUAACCAGGCAUAACACAGAAUCUGCAAAACAAAAACCCCUAAAAAAGCAGACCCAGAGCAGUGUAAACACUUCUGGGUGUGUCCCUGACUGGCUGCCCAAGGUCUCUGUGUCUUCGGAGACAAAGCCAUUCGCUUAGUUGGUCUACUUUAAAAGGCCACUUGAACUCGCUUUCCAUGGCGAUUUGCCUUGUGAGCACUUUCAGGAGAGCCUGGAAGCUGAAAAACGGUAGAAAAAUUUCCGUGCGGGCCGUGGGGGGCUGGCGGCAACUGGGGGGCCGCAGAUCAGAGUGGGCCACUGGCAGCCAACGGCCCCCGGGGCUCAGGCGGGGAGCAGCUCUGUGGUGUGGGAUUGAGGCGUUUUCCAAGAGUGGGUUUUCACGUUUCUAAGAUUUCCCAAGCAGACAGCCCGUGCUGCUCCGAUUUCUCGAACAAAAAAGCAAAACGUGUGGCUGUCUUGGGAGCAAGUCGCAGGACUGCAAGCAGUUGGGGGAGAAAGUCCGCCAUUUUGCCACUUCUCAACCGUCCCUGCAAGGCUGGGGCUCAGUUGCGUAAUGGAAAGUAAAGCCCUGAACUAUCACACUUUAAUCUUCCUUCAAAAGGUGGUAAACUAUACCUACUGUCCCUCAAGAGAACACAAGAAGUGCUUUAAGAGGCGGCGGAAGGUGAUCGAAUUCCGGUGAUGCGAGUUGUUCUCCGUCUAUAAAUACGCCUCGCCCGAGCUGUGCGGUAGGCAUUGAGGCAGCCAGCGCAGGGGCUUCUGCUGAGGGGGCAGGCGGAGCUUGAGGAAACCGCAGAUAAGUUUUUUUCUCUUUGAAAGAUAGAGAUUAAUACAACUACUUAAAAAAUAUAGUCAAUAGGUUACUAAGAUAUUGCUUAGCGUUAAGUUUUUAACGUAAUUUUAAUAGCUUAAGAUUUUAAGAGAAAAUAUGAAGACUUAGAAGAGUAGCAUGAGGAAGGAAAAGAUAAAAGGUUUCUAAAACAUGACGGAGGUUGAGAUGAAGCUUCUUCAUGGAGUAAAAAAUGUAUUUAAAAGAAAAUUGAGAGAAAGGACUACAGAGCCCCGAAUUAAUACCAAUAGAAGGGCAAUGCUUUUAGAUUAAAAUGAAGGUGACUUAAACAGCUUAAAGUUUAGUUUAAAAGUUGUAGGUGAUUAAAAUAAUUUGAAGGCGAUCUUUUAAAAAGAGAUUAAACCGAAGGUGAUUAAAAGACCUUGAAAUCCAUGACGCAGGGAGAAUUGCGUCAUUUAAAGCCUAGUUAACGCAUUUACUAAACGCAGACGAAAAUGGAAAGAUUAAUUGGGAGUGGUAGGAUGAAACAAUUUGGAGAAGAUAGAAGUUUGAAGUGGAAAACUGGAAGACAGAAGUACGGGAAGGCGAAGAAAAGAAUAGAGAAGAUAGGGAAAUUAGAAGAUAAAAACAUACUUUUAGAAGAAAAAAGAUAAAUUUAAACCUGAAAAGUAGGAAGCAGAAGAAAAAAGACAAGCUAGGAAACAAAAAGCUAAGGGCAAAAUGUACAAACUUAGAAGAAAAUUGGAAGAUAGAAACAAGAUAGAAAAUGAAAAUAUUGUCAAGAGUUUCAGAUAGAAAAUGAAAAACAAGCUAAGACAAGUAUUGGAGAAGUAUAGAAGAUAGAAAAAUAUAAAGCCAAAAAUUGGAUAAAAUAGCACUGAAAAAAUGAGGAAAUUAUUGGUAACCAAUUUAUUUUAAAAGCCCAUCAAUUUAAUUUCUGGUGGUGCAGAAGUUAGAAGGUAAAGCUUGAGAAGAUGAGGGUGUUUACGUAGACCAGAACCAAUUUAGAAGAAUACUUGAAGCUAGAAGGGGAAGUUGGUUAAAAAUCACAUCAAAAAGCUACUAAAAGGACUGGUGUAAUUUAAAAAAAACUAAGGCAGAAGGCUUUUGGAAGAGUUAGAAGAAUUUGGAAGGCCUUAAAUAUAGUAGCUUAGUUUGAAAAAUGUGAAGGACUUUCGUAACGGAAGUAAUUCAAGAUCAAGAGUAAUUACCAACUUAAUGUUUUUGCAUUGGACUUUGAGUUAAGAUUAUUUUUUAAAUCCUGAGGACUAGCAUUAAUUGACAGCUGACCCAGGUGCUACACAGAAGUGGAUUCAGUGAAUCUAGGAAGACAGCAGCAGACAGGAUUCCAGGAACCAGUGUUUGAUGAAGCUAGGACUGAGGAGCAAGCGAGCAAGCAGCAGUUCGUGGUGAAGAUAGGAAAAGAGUCCAGGAGCCAGUGCGAUUUGGUGAAGGAAGCUAGGAAGAAGGAAGGAGCGCUAACGAUUUGGUGGUGAAGCUAGGAAAAAGGAUUCCAGGAAGGAGCGAGUGCAAUUUGGUGAUGAAGGUAGCAGGCGGCUUGGCUUGGCAACCACACGGAGGAGGCGAGCAGGCGUUGUGCGUAGAGGAUCCUAGACCAGCAUGCCAGUGUGCCAAGGCCACAGGGAAAGCGAGUGGUUGGUAAAAAUCCGUGAGGUCGGCAAUAUGUUGUUUUUCUGGAACUUACUUAUGGUAACCUUUUAUUUAUUUUCUAAUAUAAUGGGGGAGUUUCGUACUGAGGUGUAAAGGGAUUUAUAUGGGGACGUAGGCCGAUUUCCGGGUGUUGUAGGUUUCUCUUUUUCAGGCUUAUACUCAUGAAUCUUGUCUGAAGCUUUUGAGGGCAGACUGCCAAGUCCUGGAGAAAUAGUAGAUGGCAAGUUUGUGGGUUUUUUUUUUUUACACGAAUUUGAGGAAAACCAAAUGAAUUUGAUAGCCAAAUUGAGACAAUUUCAGCAAAUCUGUAAGCAGUUUGUAUGUUUAGUUGGGGUAAUGAAGUAUUUCAGUUUUGUGAAUAGAUGACCUGUUUUUACUUCCUCACCCUGAAUUCGUUUUGUAAAUGUAGAGUUUGGAUGUGUAACUGAGGCGGGGGGGAGUUUUCAGUAUUUUUUUUUGUGGGGGUGGGGGCAAAAUAUGUUUUCAGUUCUUUUUCCCUUAGGUCUGUCUAGAAUCCUAAAGGCAAAUGACUCAAGGUGUAACAGAAAACAAGAAAAUCCAAUAUCAGGAUAAUCAGACCACCACAGGUUUACAGUUUAUAGAAACUAGAGCAGUUCUCACGUUGAGGUCUGUGGAAGAGAUGUCCAUUGGAGAAAUGGCUGGUAGUUACUCUUUUUUCCCCCCACCCCCUUAAUCAGACUUUAAAAGUGCUUAACCCCUUAAACUUGUUAUUUUUUACUUGAAGCAUUUUGGGAUGGUCUUAACAGGGAAGAGAGAGGGUGGGGGAGAAAAUGUUUUUUUCUAAGAUUUUCCACAGAUGCUAUAGUACUAUUGACAAACUGGGUUAGAGAAGGAGUGUACCGCUGUGCUGUUGGCACGAACACCUUCAGGGACUGGAGCUGCUUUUAUCCUUGGAAGAGUAUUCCCAGUUGAAGCUGAAAAGUACAGCACAGUGCAGCUUUGGUUCAUAUUCAGUCAUCUCAGGAGAACUUCAGAAGAGCUUGAGUAGGCCAAAUGUUGAAGUUAAGUUUUCCAAUAAUGUGACUUCUUAAAAGUUUUAUUAAAGGGGAGGGGCAAAUAUUGGCAAUUAGUUGGCAGUGGCCUGUUACGGUUGGGAUUGGUGGGGUGGGUUUAGGUAAUUGUUUAGUUUAUGAUUGCAGAUAAACUCAUGCCAGAGAACUUAAAGUCUUAGAAUGGAAAAAGUAAAGAAAUAUCAACUUCCAAGUUGGCAAGUAACUCCCAAUGAUUUAGUUUUUUUCCCCCCAGUUUGAAUUGGGAAGCUGGGGGAAGUUAAAUAUGAGCCACUGGGUGUACCAGUGCAUUAAUUUGGGCAAGGAAAGUGUCAUAAUUUGAUACUGUAUCUGUUUUCCUUCAAAGUAUAGAGCUUUUGGGGAAGGAAAGUAUUGAACUGGGGGUUGGUCUGGCCUACUGGGCUGACAUUAACUACAAUUAUGGGAAAUGCAAAAGUUGUUUGGAUAUGGUAGUGUGUGGUUCUCUUUUGGAAUUUUUUUCAGGUGAUUUAAUAAUAAUUUAAAACUACUAUAGAAACUGCAGAGCAAAGGAAGUGGCUUAAUGAUCCUGAAGGGAUUUCUUCUGAUGGUAGCUUUUGUAUUAUCAAACUUUUUUCAGAUAACAUCUUCUGAGUCAUAACCAGCCUGGCAGUAUGAUGGCCUAGAUGCAGAGAAAACAGCUCCUUGGUGAAUUGAUAAGUAAAGGCAGAAAAGAUUAUAUGUCAUACCUCCAUUGGGGAAUAAGCAUAACCCUGAGAUUCUUACUACUGAUGAGAACAUUAUCUGCAUAUGCCAAAAAAUUUUAAGCAAAUGAAAGCUACCAAUUUAAAGUUACGGAAUCUACCAUUUUAAAGUUAAUUGCUUGUCAAGCUAUAACCACAAAAAUAAUGAAUUGAUGAGAAAUACAAUGAAGAGGCAAUGUCCAUCUCAAAAUACUGCUUUUACAAAAGCAGAAUAAAAGCGAAAAGAAAUGAAAAUGUUACACUACAUUAAUCCUGGAAUAAAAGAAGCCGAAAUAAAUGAGAGAUGAGUUGGGAUCAAGUGGAUUGAGGAGGCUGUGCUGUGUGCCAAUGUUUCGUUUGCCUCAGACAGGUAUCUCUUCGUUAUCAGAAGAGUUGCUUCAUUUCAUCUGGGAGCAGAAAACAGCAGGCAGCUGUUAACAGAUAAGUUUAACUUGCAUCUGCAGUAUUGCAUGUUAGGGAUAAGUGCUUAUUUUUAAGAGCUGUGGAGUUCUUAAAUAUCAACCAUGGCACUUUCUCCUGACCCCUUCCCUAGGGGAUUUCAGGAUUGAGAAAUUUUUCCAUCGAGCCUUUUUAAAAUUGUAGGACUUGUUCCUGUGGGCUUCAGUGAUGGGAUAGUACACUUCACUCAGAGGCAUUUGCAUCUUUAAAUAAUUUCUUAAAAGCCUCUAAAGUGAUCAGUGCCUUGAUGCCAACUAAGGAAAUUUGUUUAGCAUUGAAUCUCUGAAGGCUCUAUGAAAGGAAUAGCAUGAUGUGCUGUUAGAAUCAGAUGUUACUGCUAAAAUUUACAUGUUGUGAUGUAAAUUGUGUAGAAAACCAUUAAAUCAUUCAAAAUAAUAAACUAUUUUUAUUAGAGAAUGUAUACUUUUAGAAAGCUGUCUCCUUAUUUAAAUAAAAUAGUGUUUGUCUGUAGUUCAGUGUUGGGGCAAUCUUGGGGGGGAUUCUUCUCUAAUCUUUCAGAAACUUUGUCUGCGAACACUCUUUAAUGGACCAGAUCAGGAUUUGAGCGGAAGAACGAAUGUAACUUUAAGGCAGGAAAGACAAAUUUUAUUCUUCAUAAAGUGAUGAGCAUAUAAUAAUUCCAGGCACAUGGCAAUAGAGGCCCUCUAAAUAAGGAAUAAAUAACCUCUUAGACAGGUGGGAGAUUAUGAUCAGAGUAAAAGGUAAUUACACAUUUUAUUUCCAGAAAGUCAGGGGUCUAUAAAUUGACAGUGAUUAGAGUAAUACUUUUUCACAUUUCCAAAGUUUGCAUGUUAACUUUAAAUGCUUACAAUCUUAGAGUGGUAGGCAAUGUUUUACACUAUUGACCUUAUAUAGGGAAGGGAGGGGGUGCCUGUGGGGUUUUAAAGAAUUUUCCUUUGCAGAGGCAUUUCAUCCUUCAUGAAGCCAUUCAGGAUUUUGAAUUGCAUAUGAGUGCUUGGCUCUUCCUUCUGUUCUAGUGAGUGUAUGAGACCUUGCAGUGAGUUUAUCAGCAUACUCAAAAUUUUUUUCCUGGAAUUUGGAGGGAUGGGAGGAGGGGGUGGGGCUUACUUGUUGUAGCUUUUUUUUUUUUUACAGACUUCACAGAGAAUGCAGUUGUCUUGACUUCAGGUCUGUCUGUUCUGUUGGCAAGUAAAUGCAGUACUGUUCUGAUCCCGCUGCUAUUAGAAUGCAUUGUGAAACGACUGGAGUAUGAUUAAAAGUUGUGUUCCCCAAUGCUUGGAGUAGUGAUUGUUGAAGGAAAAAAUCCAGCUGAGUGAUAAAGGCUGAGUGUUGAGGAAAUUUCUGCAGUUUUAAGCAGUCGUAUUUGUGAUUGAAGCUGAGUACAUUUUGCUGGUGUAUUUUUAGGUAAAAUGCUUUUUGUUCAUUUCUGGUGGUGGGAGGGGACUGAAGCCUUUAGUCUUUUCCAGAUGCAACCUUAAAAUCAGUGACAAGAAACAUUCCAAACAAGCAACAGUCUUCAAGAAAUUAAACUGGCAAGUGGAAAUGUUUAAACAGUUCAGUGAUCUUUAGUGCAUUGUUUAUGUGUGGGUUUCUCUCUCCCCUCCCUUGGUCUUAAUUCUUACAUGCAGGAACACUCAGCAGACACACGUAUGCGAAGGGCCAGAGAAGCCAGACCCAGUAAGAAAAAAUAGCCUAUUUACUUUAAAUAAACCAAACAUUCCAUUUUAAAUGUGGGGAUUGGGAACCACUAGUUCUUUCAGAUGGUAUUCUUCAGACUAUAGAAGGAGCUUCCAGUUGAAUUCACCAGUGGACAAAAUGAGGAAAACAGGUGAACAAGCUUUUUCUGUAUUUACAUACAAAGUCAGAUCAGUUAUGGGACAAUAGUAUUGAAUAGAUUUCAGCUUUAUGCUGGAGUAACUGGCAUGUGAGCAAACUGUGUUGGCGUGGGGGUGGAGGGGUGAGGUGGGCGCUAAGCCUUUUUUUAAGAUUUUUCAGGUACCCCUCACUAAAGGCACCGAAGGCUUAAAGUAGGACAACCAUGGAGCCUUCCUGUGGCAGGAGAGACAACAAAGCGCUAUUAUCCUAAGGUCAAGAGAAGUGUCAGCCUCACCUGAUUUUUAUUAGUAAUGAGGACUUGCCUCAACUCCCUCUUUCUGGAGUGAAGCAUCCGAAGGAAUGCUUGAAGUACCCCUGGGCUUCUCUUAACAUUUAAGCAAGCUGUUUUUAUAGCAGCUCUUAAUAAUAAAGCCCAAAUCUCAAGCGGUGCUUGAAGGGGAGGGAAAGGGGGAAAGCGGGCAACCACUUUUCCCUAGCUUUUCCAGAAGCCUGUUAAAAGCAAGGUCUCCCCACAAGCAACUUCUCUGCCACAUCGCCACCCCGUGCCUUUUGAUCUAGCACAGACCCUUCACCCCUCACCUCGAUGCAGCCAGUAGCUUGGAUCCUUGUGGGCAUGAUCCAUAAUCGGUUUCAAGGUAACGAUGGUGUCGAGGUCUUUGGUGGGUUGAACUAUGUUAGAAAAGGCCAUUAAUUUGCCUGCAAAUUGUUAACAGAAGGGUAUUAAAACCACAGCUAAGUAGCUCUAUUAUAAUACUUAUCCAGUGACUAAAACCAACUUAAACCAGUAAGUGGAGAAAUAACAUGUUCAAGAACUGUAAUGCUGGGUGGGAACAUGUAACUUGUAGACUGGAGAAGAUAGGCAUUUGAGUGGCUGAGAGGGCUUUUGGGUGGGAAUGCAAAAAUUCUCUGCUAAGACUUUUUCAGGUGAACAUAACAGACUUGGCCAAGCUAGCAUCUUAGCGGAAGCUGAUCUCCAAUGCUCUUCAGUAGGGUCAUGAAGGUUUUUCUUUUCCUGAGAAAACAACACGUAUUGUUUUCUCAGGUUUUGCUUUUUGGCCUUUUUCUAGCUUAAAAAAAAAAAAAGCAAAAGAUGCUGGUGGUUGGCACUCCUGGUUUCCAGGACGGGGUUCAAAUCCCUGCGGCGUCUUUGCUUUGACUACUAAUCUGUCUUCAGGACUCUUUCUGUAUUUCUCCUUUUCUCUGCAGGUGCUAGUUCUUGGAGUUUUGGGGAGGUGGGAGGUAACAGCACAAUAUCUUUGAACUAUAUACAUCCUUGAUGUAUAAUUUGUCAGGAGCUUGACUUGAUUGUAUAUUCAUAUUUACACGAGAACCUAAUAUAACUGCCUUGUCUUUUUCAGGUAAUAGCCUGCAGCUGGUGUUUUGAGAAGCCCUACUGCUGAAAACUUAACAAUUUUGUGUAAUAAAAAUGGAGAAGCUCUAAAUUGUUGUGGUUCUUUUGUGAAUAAAAAAAUCUUGAUUGGGGAAAAAA
rnacentral:lncRNA from 1 species